UGGCGGCGUGCUUAACACAUGCAAGUCGAACGGAUCAGGGAAGCUUGCUUUUCUGGUUAGUGGCGAACGGGUGAGUAACACGUGAGUAACCUGCCCUUCACUCUGGGAUAACUCCGGGAAACCGGGGCUAAUACUGGAUACGACCUGAACAGGCAUCUGUAUUGGGUGGAAAGAUUUAUUGGUGGAGGAUGGACUCGCGGCCUAUCAGCUUGUUGGUGAGGUAAUGGCUCACCAAGGCGACGACGGGUAGCCGGCCUGAGAGGGCGAUCGGCCACACUGGGACUGAGACACGGCCCAGACUCCUACGGGAGGCAGCAGUGGGGAAUAUUGCACAAUGGGCGAAAGCCUGAUGCAGCGACGCCGCGUGAGGGAUGAAGGCCUUCGGGUUGUAAACCUCUUUCAGCAGGGAAGAAGUGCCUGGGUUUUCUUGGGUGUGACGGUACCUGCAGAAGAAGCACCGGCUAACUACGUGCCAGCAGCCGCGGUAAUACGUAGGGUGCAAGCGUUGUCCGGAAUUAUUGGGCGUAAAGAGCUUGUAGGCGGUUUGUCGCGUCUGCUGUGAAAUUUCGGGGCUCAACCCCGAACUUGCAGUGGGUACGGGCAGACUAGAGUGUGGUAGGGGAGACUGGAAUUCCUGGUGUAGCGGUGAAAUGCGCAGAUAUCAGGAGGAACACCGAUGGCGAAGGCAGGUCUCUGGGCCACUACUGACG
rnacentral:rRNA from 1 species